GCUGCCCAUCAAGCACGGCUUGUGUGUUGGGUCGUCGUCCCCUCUUCGGGGGGGACGGGCCCUAAAGGCAGCGGCGGCACCGCGUCCGAUCCUCGAGCGUAUGGGGCUUUGUCACCCGCUCUGUAGGCCCGGCCGGCGCUUGCCGAACGCAAAACAACCAUUCUUUCCAGG
rnacentral:misc_RNA from 1 species